rnacentral:rRNA from 1 species
CGUAGGCAGCGAGCGUUGUUCGGAGUUACUGGGCGUAAAGGGUGUGUAGGCGGUUGUUUAAGUUUGGUGUGAAAUCUCCCGGCUCAACUGGGAGGGUGCGCCGAAUACUGAAUGACUAGAGUGUGGGAGAGGUGAGUGGAAUUCCUGGUGUAGCGGUGAAAUGCGUAGAUAUCAGGAGGAACACCGGUGGUGUAGACGGCUCACUGGACCAUAACUGACGCUGAGACACGAAAGCGUGGGUAGCAAACAGGAUUAGAUACCCUGGUAGUCCACGCCCUAAACGAUGCAUAUUUGGUGUGGGCAGUUCAUUCUGUCCGUGCCGGAGCUAACGCGUUAAAUAUGCCGCCUGGGGAGUACAGUCGCAAGGCUG